GCAUAACGUAUUAUAAGAGAUCUUCCUACGUGUCCCUUUUGUAAGGAUGCAUGCUGACGUGUAGCUUGUUUUGGUGUAUCUUUUAUCCUGCUUCAGCUGGUUAGCCUGAAUCCUCUUUUCUCCUGUUUCAGUUGAUUAGCAACCACUAUUGUUCAGGAAUUUUGAGUGGCGCACAUCUUGGUCUGGCGAGCCGAUGACCGGACAUCAUUUGUCUAGGUUUGUGCACAUUGAAAACUCUUGCUGCGGAUAGGAAUGAUGUUCAUCGCAAACUGAUGUAGCUUCUUAAUAUGCGUACUAUAUUAGAUUGAUCCUUUUGAAUUAAGUUGGUGUAAAAUUAUUUUUUAAACCCAAGCUCUCUCUGCCUCUUUUCUCUUUUUUCAUUGUAACUUAUAUAUACAUAGGGAGCUUACCUUCAUGCACCACUCAGGCGCCAUAUCCGGCCACUAACAUCACGUCUAGGCACUAACUCACUCCCACUCACAACUAACUCCACGCACUAAGUAAUCCCUACAUGCAUGCAUGUCCACUUGCGCAGCUCCACUCAACGGCCACACACCUGGUCAGCGGCCAUGUAGCUAACAAACAAACUAACUUGCCUAUUCUCCUCUAGCUAUUCUAGUCGUCAUGCGCCUUGCCGCUUCACGCGGUGUGCUGCAUCACAUAGCACCGCGGCUUCACGCCGCCAUCGGCAUCUCACCAUGCUCGAGGCAUCGCACGGCAGCCCAGUAUCUCGCCUCCUCCGUGCACUCGAUUUAAGCUUCGGCAACUAGAUACUCCUAGACCAUCUAUGUUACAUGCAUAAUGAAAGCAAAUUAAGUAUGCAAAUACAAAAUAUAAAAACUAGUGCGGACAAUCCCAACCGAGGAUCGACGUUAGUGUUAACACAUGAUUAUUGAAUUCUCUGUAUUUAUUACUAUUUAUAUUUUUGAGAAUGCGAUGAUCCUGUAUGUUGGCAUUUUGGUACUAUAGUAUAGUUUCUUAGUGUAUUAUAAUUGAGAAUUGAUUAACUUUUGUAGGAAGCAAAAAGGACUACACUCACAAGGAACCAUGAAGCCAACGAUCCACGUCAACUAGAUGUUUUAGCUUUCAUUUUGUACAACUGAUGUCUCAUACUUGCAUCUUUUGGCUGUCCUUUUGUAAACCUGAUGUAUGGUUUCUCGGUGGUUUUGUUUAGAACAGAUUGAAGUGUAU
rnacentral:lncRNA from 1 species